GACGAACGCUGGCGGCGUGCUUAACACAUGCAAGUCGAGCGAGGCCCCUCCUUCGGGAGGGUGUCCUAGCGGCGAACGGGUGAGUAACACGUGGGCAACCUGCCCUCAGCUCUGGGAUAACUCCGGGAAACCGGGGCUAAUACCGGAUACGACCUCCACGGGCAUCUGCGGAGGUGGAAAGUUUUUCGGCUGAGGAUGGGCCCGCGGCCUAUCAGCUAGUUGGUGGGGUAGUGGCCCACCAAGGCGACGACGGGUAGCCGGCCUGAGAGGGCGACCGGCCACACUGGGACUGAGACACGGCCCGGACUCCUACGGGAGGCAGCAGUGGGGAAUAUUGCGCAAUGGGCGAAAGCCUGACGCAGCGACGCCGCGUGAGGGACGAAGGCCUUCGGGUUGUAAACCUCUUUCAGCAGGGACGAAGCGAAAGUGACGGUACCUGCAGAAGAAGCACCGGCCAACUACGUG
rnacentral:rRNA from 1 species